rnacentral:rRNA from 1 species
GAGCGGUAUUGUUUCUUCGGAAACGAGAGAGCGGCGCACGGGUGCGGAACACGUGUGCAACCUGCCUUUAUCUGGGGGAUAGCCUUUCGAAAGGAAGAUUAAUACCCCAUAAUAUUUUGAAUGGCAUCAUUUAAAAUUGAAAACUCCGGUGGAUAGAGAUGGGCACGCGCAAGAUUAGAUAGUUGGUAGGGUAACGGCCUACCAAGUCAGUGAUCUUUAGGGGGCCUGAGAGGGUGAUCCCCCACACUGGUACUGAGACACGGACCAGACUCCUACGGGAGGCAGCAGUGAGGAAUAUUGGACAAUGGGUGAGAGCCUGAUCCAGCCAUCCCGCGUGAAGGACGACGGCCCUAUGGGUUGUAAACUUCUUUUGUACAGGGAUGAACCUUUCCACGUGUGGAAAGCUGAAGGUACUGUACGAAUAAGCACCGGCUAACUCCGUG